UACGAGGGGUGCAAGCGUUGCUCGGAAUUAUUGGGCGUAAAGGGUAGGUAGGUGGUCUGAUUUGUCAGGGGUGAAAGCCUUGAGCUUAACUCAAGAAGUGCCCCUGAAACGGUCAGACUGGAGUCUUGGAGAGGUGAGUGGAAUUCCCGGUGUAGCGGUGAAAUGCGUAGAGAUCGGGAGGAACACCAGAGGCGAAGGCGGCUCACUGGACAAGCACUGACACUCAACUACGAAAGCGUGGGGAGCAAACAGG
rnacentral:rRNA from 1 species